rnacentral:tRNA from 1 species
AGCUUAGUUGGUAAAGCACUUGACUAGCGAAUAAGGGUCGUGAGUUCAAAUCUCAC